CCCUAUUAUUUUAGAAUGUUAAUUUGGGGUGCCUGAGUAGUAUUAGUUAUGUUCUUGAAACUUAAAGAAUUUGGCGGUAUCUCAUUCCAUCCAGAGGAAUCUGUCCCGUUAUCGAUAGUCCGCGUUGGACCUUACUUAGUUUAAAUUUGGUUUGUAUACCGCCGUUUAUUGAUUAUCUUUUUAGAGUUUUUAAUUUUCUGGUUUCUUUAUUAUGGUUUAUUUCAGGUCAAGGUGCAGCUUGUUUCUAAGUGGAUUGGUGGAUUACAUUGUUAUUUGUUUUUGGAUUGUUGAUUUUAAUAUUGGUAUGAAAUUGGAUUUGGUUGUAAUUUCUUGUAGAUUGUUGUUGUGAUAGUUGGUUCUGGGAUAUGUACACAUCGCCCGUCGCUCUCGUUUAUUA
rnacentral:rRNA from 1 species